rnacentral:rRNA from 1 species
UACGGAGGGUGCGAGCGUUGUCCGGAAUCACUGGGCGUAAAGGGCGCGUAGGCGGCCUGAUAAGUUGGAGGUGAAAUCUUGCGGCUUAACCGCAAGGCUGCCUUCUAAACUGUCAGGCUAGAGCACAGUAGAGGCAGGUGGAAUUCCCGGUGUAGCGGUGGAAUGCGUAGAGAUCGGGAAGAACAUCAGUGGCGAAGGCGGCUACCUGGACCGAUACUGACGCUGAGGCGCGAAAGCGUGGGGAGCAAACAGG